rnacentral:rRNA from 1 species
GAUGAACGCUGGCGGCGUGCCUAAUACAUGCAAGUCGAGCGAACGGACGAGAAGCUUGCUUCUCUGAUGUUAGCGGCGGACGGGUGAGUAACACGUGGAUAACCUACCUAUAAGACUGGGAUAACUUCGGGAAACCGUAGCUAAUACCGGAUAAUAUUUUGAACCGCAUGGUUCAAAAGUGAAAGACGGUCUUGCUGUCACUUAUAGAUGGAUCCGCGCUGCAUUAGCUAGUUGGUAAGGUAACGGCUUACCAAGGCAACGAUGCAUAGCCGACCUGAGAGGGUGAUUCGCCACCCUGGAACUGGGGCACGGUCCAGACUCCUACGGGAGGCAGCAGUAGGGAAUCUUCCGCAAUGGGCGAAAGCCUGACGGAGCAACGCCGCGUGAGUGAUGAAGGUCUUCGGAUCGUAAAACUCUGUUAUUAGGGAAGAACAUAUGUGUAAGUAACUGUGCACAUCUUGACGGUACCUAAUCAGAAAGCCACGGCUAACUACGUG